rnacentral:rRNA from 1 species
CAAGUCGAACGGCAGCGCGGGGCAACCUGGCGGCGAGUGGCGAACGGGUGAGUAAUAUAUCGGAACGUACCCUGGAGUGGGGGAUAACGUAGCGAAAGUUACGCUAAUACCGCAUACGAUCUACGGAUGAAAGUGGGGGCUCGCAAGACCUCAUGCUCGUGGAGCGGCCGAUAUCUGAUUAGCUAGUUGGUAGGGUAAAAGCCUACCAAGGCAUCGAUCAGUAGCUGGUCUGAGAGGACGACCAGCCACACUGGGACUGAGACACGGCCCAGACUCCUACGGGAGGCAGCAGUGGGGAAUUUUGGACAAUGGGCGCAAGCCUGAUCCAGCAAUGCCGCGUGAGUGAAGAAGGCCUUCGGGUUGUAAAGCUCUUUUGUCAGGGAAGAAACGGUGGAGGCUAAUAUCCUUUGCUAAUGACGGUACCUGAAGAAUAAGCACCGGCUAACUACGUGCCAGCAGCCGCGGU